AUGAAUAUCGCACUCCUUUCCCGCUGGCUUUGGCGCAUCUCGCAAGGGCAUGGUGGACUGUGGCUAGACAUCAUUCGGAAUAAGUACCUGCGUGGCCAACCUUUGGCCUUCUGCCAAUGGUCUGGUGGAUCCCAAUUUUGGUAGUCGGUCAUUCAGCUGCUCCCCAUCCUCUGCAUUGGGACCUCCAUAUUGGUCGGAUCGGGUUCAGUGACCCUGUUCUGGUUUGACCGAUGGGCGGGAGACUCGCCCUUCGCGGCCCGGUUCCCCGAUCUCUUCUCCAUCGCAGUCGUCCCGAUGAUCUCAGUUGAAUGGGCCCUUAUUGACUUAGGGCGCCUCUCGUUCUGGAGACCAUUUGGGCCUCCGGAAGCUGCCGCUUGGCAGGAGCUUCUUGAUAGCAUCACCCUCCAUGUGCCGGCUGUCGAUGCAGGCCGGGAUGAAGUUCGGUGGCGCCUUGAACCUUCGGGCCAAUUCUCCACCAAGUCCCUCUACUCGGCCAUCGCUCCCUCCUCCGCUCCGUCCCCCCUCCUGGAGGUGUGGACCAUUCGCGUGCCUCUGAUAAUCCGGAUCUUCCUGUGGCAAUCAAUCCGCAGUCGGCUCCCGUCUGGGGUGGAGGUACGCAAGCGCAAUGGUUCGGGCUCCGGUCUUUGCCCGCUCUGUAGUACCCCCGAGGACUCGAAUCACAUCUUCUUCUCCUGCAUGUCUGCCCAGUUUGUCUGGAGCUGCUUUAGAGAGGCUGUGGGUGGGGAUUGGUGCCACACCAACUUCCCUGACCUCUUCGCUGAAAUCCAGACCUCCCCCUGCCCACUGGCCACAUUAGGUGGCUUGAGAUCGGUGCUCUCGCAUGGACCCUCUGGACGAUUCGCAAUAAGCUUGUGA
rnacentral:rRNA from 1 species